rnacentral:rRNA from 1 species
GACGAACGCUGGCGGCGUGCUUAACACAUGCAAGUCGAACGGUGAAGCUCCAGCUUGCUGGAGUGGAUCAGUGGCGAACGGGUGAGUAACACGUGAGCAACCUGCCCCUGACUCUGGAAUAAGCGCUGGAAACGGCGUCUAAUACUGGAUACGAGAAGGGUCCGCAUGGGCACUUUCUGGAAAGUUUUUCGGUUGGGGAUGGGCUCGCGGCCUAUCAGCUUGUUGGUGAGGUAAUGGCUCACCAAGGCGACGACGGGCAGCCGGCCUGAGAGGGCGACCGGCCACACUGGGACUGAGACACGGCCCAGACUCCUACGGGAGGCAGCAGUGGGGAAUAUUGCACAAUGGGCGAAAGCCUGAUGCAGCGACGCCGCGUGAGGGAUGACGGCCUUCGGGUUGUAAACCUCUUUCAGCAGGGAAGAAGCGAAAGUGACGGUACCUGCAGAAGAAGCACCGGCUAACUACGUG